rnacentral:rRNA from 1 species
ACUCAAAUGAAUAGACGGGGGCCCGCACAAGCGGUGGAGCAUGUGGUUUAAUUCGAAGCAACGCGAAGAACCUUACCAAGGCUUGACAUGGGGACGACAGGUAUAGAGAUAUAUCCUCCUUUCGGGGCGUCCCACACAGGUGGUGCAUGGUUGUCGUCAGCUCGUGUCGUGAGAUGUUGGGUUAAGUCCCGCAACGAGCGCAACCCUUAUUUUUAGUAGCCAGCAUUACGGAUGGGCACACUAGGGAGACUGCCGUGGAUAACACGGAGGAAGGUGGGGACGACGUCAAAUCAUCAUGCCCCUUAUGUCUUGGGCGACACACGUGCUACAAUGGCUCAUACAGAGUGAAGCGAGACGGUGACGUGGAGCAAAUCACAAAAAUGAGUCCCAGUUCGGAUUGCAGGCUGCAACCCGCCUGCAUGAAGUUGGAAUCGCUAGUAAUCGCAAAUCAGCAUGUUGCGGUGAAUACGUUCCCGGGCCUUGUACACACCGCCCGU